UAUGUUGGAAAUUACCGAAGUUAUAUAUUUUAAUAUAAAAUACCAGAGUUUACUGUAUCAACUGGUAAUAUAAUGAUCUGUACUUGAUGAUGUCAUUAUUGUCCCUGUAUAGCAGGGGAUGCUGGGAAAUUACCUUGCAUGGUCAGUCUCCCACACAGUCCACCUGAGUAAAACCCCUGCUGUCCCAGUCUAGAGACCCUGUGCAGGGACAACCGUAUACAUUGGUGACUUGUCAUUAAAGCCUCAGUUGACUCCCAGAACUGUGUUUCAUCCGGUUACUGGGG